UGCGUAGGCGGUUUGUUAAGUCAUUUGUAAAAGAUCUCAGCUCAACUGAGUAAGGCGAAUGAAACUGGCAGACUUGAAUACGGUAGAGGUAAGUGGAAUUCCAUGUGUAGCGGUGGAAUGCGUAGAUAUAUGGAGGAACACCAAUGGCGAAGGCAACUUACUGGGCCGGAAUUGACGCUGAGGCACGAAAGCGUGGGGAGCAAACAGGAUUAGAUACCCUGGUAGUC
rnacentral:rRNA from 1 species